GUCCUACAUUGGCUAAUUAAUGAAAUGAUCACAGGUUUAUAAGUAAGGAGUACAUCUCCAUGGUAUAAGGCCUUUUGGAGGAACCAAAAGCAAAGCCAUGAGAGCUUAUGCUCAAAGUGGAUAAUAUCCUACCAUUGUAGAGAGGUGUGACUGAUAGCAUGUCUCUCCCAAUGUCCCACACCCAAAAUCUUCGCUCUAUUGGUGCAGGCGAUCUCUGUAAUAAAUGUUAAUCAAAACAACGGUUGACGUUGUCAUCAAAUCCAUCACGGCCAUCAUUCUUAGGAAUUGGCUAAAUAGGU